UGGAUCACAUGGGCAGUCAUUACUUUGCUUGAUUGGAGGCUGGGAGAAUCCUAGCCACUGGCUGAAGAGAGGCCUUACCCCCUGUGACUCUCCCACUGAUAAUUCCCUCCACCAUUAAGUGAAACUAAAACGGAACUUGUCAGCAGUCACUGAUGGACCAGGGGAUGUAAAAGUGAUCGGCUUAGUGGAUGAGAAAGCUGUUUGCAAGAGGAGGACUAACAGAUGAACCUUCAGAGAGAAGCAAGUGGCAUGCACAUGGGAAAGAAGCCAAAAUGGGGUGAGGAUUUGUCUCCCUUCUGAAAGGCUUUCCAGUUUGGGAAGGCCCCACACGGCACAGAUUCGCCAUAUGAUCCACCGGCAAGGGAGGACUCCAAUGGAAGGCGUCCGAUAAGAUAAGUCUUAUAAAAUAUAUAGAUUUAUGAUAAUUAAGACUGAGCUAACAGAUGAGAAUCCUAGUCAUUGGCCAAGCAGCAUUUGUACCUAAUAUAAGUCUCUGUGCAUUAAUUGGGGCCCUAACUCGGCAGGCAAAACUCAGGCGGCUGGCAGAGAUGGCCCAUGUGGCAGUAGGGCUCGGGCGGCUUUUGGCAGAAAGAUUUAUCGUAACACUAAUACUUGCAAACAAGCAUGGCUGUCUCCUGGGAGUGAGCUGUUUACAGGGACCACUGCAGAAGCUUCACUCAGGUGUCUUCAUAACAAUGCUGGACCUUAAAGGGUCCUUCCCAGAGCGGGGAGGAAUCUGACUUUAUUCAAAUCUUUAACUGAUUCUUAAAAAAGAAAAAGAAAGAAAGAGAGAGAGAGAGAGAGAGAGAGAGAGAGAGAGAGAGAGAGAGAGAGAACCAAAACAAAUAGAUAAAUCUUCACACCAGCGUUUCCACCAUAAAUUGGCUUGUAUCCAUAAAACAAAACUUAGAAAAGUAUGGCAAAGUUGGGGGAAAUUCUCCAACUGUGCAUCAACAAGAUCUUAUUAAUUUGCUCUUUGGUGUUUAUUCUGUUUUAUCACUGAGGUUUUACCUGAUACACAAAGACAAGAAAGCUGUACAUGUUAAUAGGGUAUUAUGUGAUGUUUGACCCGAGUACACUGAACAAUGUUUAAAUCAGGUCAAACGGAGUUAUAACCCCAAACAUUUUUCACUUCUUUGUGAUGAAAACUCAGAACCUUUCUUUUCUGCUGGCAUUUUGAAAUGCACAGCAACUGCUUGUUGUCUUGUCCACUGGGCAAGGACUCCUGCCCCUGUGUAUUGUAGCACUAUUCAUCAGCCUGAGUCCGGGGUCCACUCCUUUGCCUUUUUUAAAUGUUUUCAUUAGCAUAUCUUACUUACACAUAGCAAUAGGCUUUAUUGUGGUGCUUUCAUGUAUAUACACAAUGUAUUUGGAGCAGAUUCACGAUCCUCCCUCUGUUCAGCCGUUCUUGACACCCUCCCACUAAUGCCCCUUUUCAUUCCAAACAGCUCCCUUGUACUUUCACGUCUUUUAUUUUUCUUUCUUUGUGACCCAUUAGAUUGAGUGUUUCUUUGUUUGUUUAUUUGUUGAGACAGGGUUUCUCUGUGUAGCUCCGUAGACCAGCCUGGCUUCAAACUCACAGAGAUCUGCCUGCCUCUACCUCCUGGGAUUAGAGGCGUGUGCUACGACUGCCUGGCUUUGAUUGGUUGCUUUUAUAGAAGCAGAGGUGAGUGUCUGUUUAAGGAUAAUGGAAACCUGACCAGAGACUAUACCACUGAAGAAAACAUAUCUCUCUCUCUCUCCCAUAAUUUUUUGCUUAUAAUUUAAAAAAAUUGAAAUUAUAAUAUUUCAUUUCUUCCCUUCCUUUUUUUUCUGUCUAACCCCUCUAUAGCCCCUCCCCUUGCCCUUUCUCAAGCUUAUGGUCUCCUUUUCUUUAAUUGUUGAUAAAUACGAAUAUGUGUGUAUAUGUAUACACAUAUAUUCCAAAAUACGCAAAUACAACCUUCUCAAUCCAUAUUUUACCUUUAUGAAUAUGAUCUCAGGACUGACCACUGAUAUUGGAUAACCAAUGGGCCAGCACUUCUCUGUGGAAGACCAUUUUCUUAGCAUUCCCAACUUCACCAUAGGUCUUCCUAUGGUGGGGGCCCCACGAAUCUUCCCUCUUCCGUGUUAGCAUGUCCACUGGUGUUGUCAUUGUUCAGAUCUUGUUUGCCAUCGAAUAUUCACUGUGUUUAAAUCCUCAGUGCAGUAAAGGACCCAGGAGCCCCUUGCCAAUUUCAUGACACAAUACUGAUGGCCUAGUCUUGUACAGAGUGUGAGAAUAUGUCUUCACAGCUGCUGUGAGUUUAAUGAUGCAAAAGGUGUGUCAUUGCCAGAAUCCACUGUCUCUCCUCCCGCGCUUCCUCCAGCUCUUACAUUCUUGCCGCCCUUUCUUCUGUGAUGUUCUUUGAGCCUUGGAAGGGGUCAUAUAGAUGUCCUACUUAUGGCUGAGCAUUAAAAAUUCAUUUAUUCUCAAUACAUAGACCAAGGAUGGCUUGGUGGCACUAUUUUAUGAGUAUAAAUAUAGCUACUUAGGAGCACUUGACAGGUACACCACCUCCAUUUAGCAAAACAGCAGUAGCUUCCCCUAGGGCCUUGACAUCUCUAAGCAUAGACUUUUGACCAGGUUAAUAGGAGCAGACAUGAAUUCCGUCCUAUGGAGCAGCCAUUGCAUCCAAUCAGAAAGUGGUUAGUCACCCCCAUAACAAACUUGCUGCUACCGCACCAGCAGGCACAUUUUGCCCCCCGUUGGCAUUGCUGGACACAGUGCCCACAGCUGAGGAAGACUAUGGAUGACAGUUUUCCUCCACCAGCCUACAUAUUACCUUCCAGCAGUGUGAGGGUUAGCUAGCAGGAAGAAAGCUUCCAAUCUAUUUCCAGCUUGACUUCUCUGUGUCCUGUGUCUAAGGCAUUUGCCAUCUUUCAACAGGAUCUUACUUGUGGGCAAUCAACCGAAGUGGUGAUCACCUGUUGUGUUGGGGGGCCAUGGGGGAUCUCCCUGACCAACAAAUCUAAUGAAGGCAGUCCACCCCUAACAUUGGGAUUUUCCUUUAGUAACUUAUGGCUUGGGGGGUAUAGCCAUCCAUAUAAGGUGGUUCCAUGCAAGCAUUUUUAUUGUGGCUUUAAUUAGCUUCUCAAAUAUUAGAUUUCUUGGUAGAUUUACUUUGAACAUAGUCUGAUAGUAAGAAACUGAAGGGUAUAACUACUUUGCAUGUAAGAUAAAGAGCCAAUCUACAGAAAUUUCUGGUUUACUUAUUCCAACUACAGUGUGCCACUUGUUAAUGACUUCUCUCAGAUUUCUUUGCUAGGAGAAACCAUUUGGCCUCAAUUACAGAAUUUCUGGAGCAUGUGUUUUGAGGGAAGAGGGGAAAAAACAAUGCUUCUCAGACUUCGAUGCACAUGGGAUCCAUCUCACAAGCUUGUUAAAAUGCACAGUUGGAAUUUUAACAAGCUCCAAGAUUACUCAGAAGCUGCCAGGCCAUGGGCAUGCAUUAGUGGCAAGAUCCUUACAUGACCAAAAACAUGGAAAAAUUAAUGGAAGAAAAUUUUUGCCUUCCUGUAUCUACCUACCAUUAAACCCAUCAGCCACAACCCAUUUCUGGGAAAACUUGGGACUAUUUCUCAUCCCUGGAAGGCUUCCCAGUCUCAGGGUGGAGGAGAACUUAUUUACUGCAGUACAAGUGAAAGUAUUGAGCAACUCCACUGCUCCUCUGCAAGUUCCUUCUCUGCAUUGGAACCAUUCCAAAGAUUAUAACGCAUCUGUUUAUCUGGUUUUCCUUGGUAAUAAUGCAAUCAUAUCAGGGGCAUGACUUCCUAGAAUAAAGACUUCAAUUUCCAGCUUCACUAAAAGAUGGAUAUGCCCAUGUUACCAAGUUCUGGUCAAUAAUAAAAUAGUACUGAAACAGAAAUAUGCACACGAGCCAUGGUUUGCAGAUGAGAAGUAAAGUUAACUUACCCCUCUAGGCAUAGCACCAACAUGCCAGUGAAAAAGCUCAUGUCCUAGAAGUGGUGACUCUGUUCCUGUCAUUAUUUCUGGAUCAACACUGUACACUGAAUAUUCCCAAUUUCAGAAAUAAUCUUUUCUUCUAAGGGUAAAUAAAAUUCCUAGCUACUGUGCUUGGCAUGAUGGUGCAUGCCUUUAAUCCUCAUCCUCACACUGGGAAGUAGAGGCAGGUGGAUAUCUGUCCAAUUUGGUCCAUAUAACAAAUUCUGGGCUAACCUGGGCUGCAUAGUGAGACCCUGUCCCAAAACAAAAACUAUAUUACUAAUUACCACAAAACACCACAGGAGAAGUAUUGCUCAGCCCUGGGCUGCAUCUGGAAAUUGAGAAGGUAAAGCAAGCCCCACACUGACAGGUAACUUGGCCCUAAUAACGGCAGUGGCUCGCCGCGGCUACACUGUGCAAGCUACACUGUUUGUGCUGAACUUCUGCUUUGUUUCUGGGAGUCUGGAAUUUCAGCACAUGCCAGGCAGAGGGUUUCUAUCUGACCACUUCCUGAUUAGAACCCUCGGGCAGUAAGUCUUUGAAUUGCCCCUUUGAGAAUAUUUUGCAUGUGUUUUCCUAGCACCUUGGUGAAGGGGCCCAGGAGGCACUCCACUGUGGCAGGACACUUGGAAGCCUAGACCCAGUCUCUUGCUGCCUCCAUCCAUGCACCUAUUUCUUUCCCUGGUUUGGCUUUGCAUUUUUUUCCUGGCCACAAAUGUCAACCUCAGUUCAGUUACAUGCUGAGUACUAUAAACUCUUCCAUCCAAAGAACUGGCGAGAUCUGCCGUCUUAAGAAUUGUGUGAGAGAGAUUGCUUUUCUAGAUUCAUAAAGGAAGUGCCCUAGCUUUCUGUACUGCUUUCUCUUCUUUCCUGGGGCAUAUCCACCCCAACCUUCCUUACUCAUUCCCUGCCAAAGUCCAAGCCCGAGUAUGGACAUGGACAAAGCUGUCAGGAGUGACACCUUCAGUUUCUCAGUCCCAGAGAAGCUGCAAAGCUUCUGUGCUGCAAAUAAACACAGCACUGCUUUGUCUGCAUUUUACUUUUAAUCCAGCUGUGUUUCCCCUACAAACACAAGGUGUGAGUGAGGCUCUUAGUGGUAUCUUAUUGAACUAAAUGCAUCACUGAAAUGUCCCUAUAAAUUAUUUACCAGAAGACUUAUCUGGUGAGGAAACGCGUUUAUCUUGUGAGUACAUGGAGGCCUUUUAAAAUAUAUGGCCAGGCACUAAACCUCAAUGCCACAUCAACAGUAAUUUAUCAACAUCACAUGAAACUGUGCAGGAUAUCCUACCUCCCGUGAAGCAUGGCCUGCUUUGUAGAAUAUCCUCCUCCCACUGAGUAAUGUGUGUGACGUACCUUCAGGUGACCUUCUUGAUAAACUGUGUAAUUAUGUUUUCACAGCAUUAACUAUUAUUUCUUUAACCUUGGAGAGUAAGAAGUGUGGGCACAGUGUUUGGCACAGGCAAUGAGUUUGGGCACGCUGGUGAACAAGGUCUUAGGUUUGCCUUAAAAUCAAGGGGCCACUGUAUACUUCACAAUCUCUCAAGCCAGCAAAGCUGCUGUGAACCUGUGCUGGAACUCAACGAACCACUGAUGUCCUAGAUGCAGGACUGGUCAAGUUCUACCCUGGUCUACCUGAUAAGGAUGUGCUCUUCAGAAGCCAGUCCAUCCCUGGGGAGCCUCUGCCACACCGGCUGGGAAAUGAAGCAUUUAGUGCACCACUUCCUCUGUCGCAUACAAUCUGUGAUUCAGUGCUAAUCUAAAGUAUGUGGCGAGUGCCAAAUGAGAGCGUACAAAUGCAUUUUGUUGGUGGGAGAAGUGUCUCGUGGGUAAAACAGGAAAAUGAGUUGGCUGUAAAAGAAAAGCACAUUCUCUAGUGGAAAGGGAACUUGAGAAUAUAGAUUUUAUCCACUAUGAGAGGUCCUCAGGAAGUGUCAGUAUGAAACAACAGCGAUUUUAAUAAUGGCCCCUCCUUAGUGAGCACUAGCUAAAGAAUAUUUUCUCAGUUGAUUCCCACAGACAUCUUAGGCAUUAUUCCCAUUUUAUACAGGGAAAAUUGGAGACAUAGAAAGACACAGAAUUUGUCUGAUCAGGAACCUGGAAGGCAAUCUGAUGCUUCAGGGACUGCCUUCUAGCCACUUUUAUUGCAAUUGUAUCUGAAGGCAGCAUAGAGUUCUUCCCCAGAAAGCACUCUAGUGUAGAUGAACCUGGCCAGAAAUGGUUUGAGGAGAAAAAGAUGGGCCAUCAACAAGAAUAAUGCCGUCUUCGCACUCCGAGUGUCAAGUAUGUGCUUUCAUGUGUGCAUCCUAGCCUUCUCCUCUGAUGUUCUGUCACAUUGCCUUUAUGGAGAUAAGAAAUUUAGGUUCAACACAUCCAACUUUUACAAGGUGAAAAUUAGUAGGAGGCAAAGCUGGGAUUUAACUUUGUCUAAAUCAAGGACCUGUUCUCCUGUGCUAUGUUGCAUUCUUGGCAAGCAAAAGAAGAAAAAAAUAAAAUAAGAUAGAAAGGAAGGAAGGAAGGAAGGAAGGAAGGAAGGAAGGAAGGAAGGAAGGAAGGAAAGGAGCAAGGAAGGAAGGGGAAGGGAGGAGGGAGGGAGGAAGAAAGAAGGCAAGAAGUGAUAAGCAGGUACUAAAAACAGCUCUGUCUCACUUCUUAGCUUGGUUUAUUUGAAAUCUAGAGUAGGAGAAAUGAAUUGAUAGUGACAGAAAGUGGAUCAGAGAGAAAUGGGAUUGCCUGAACAGGAAGGACACUAGGCACCAGGGAACUGUUUGGAAUGACAGAAAGAUUUUAGUUGGUUGUUUAGUUAGUUAGUUAGCUAGUUAUCUAGUUAGUUAGCUGUUUAUUUGUUUGUUUUUCCUUCUGAGACCUAGCUGGCCUUGAACUCUUGACCCCUUAGCAUUUUUUUUUUAUCUUGUAUGGCAGUGAUUAUAUAUGCAACAUUUGUCAAAAACCACUUGUACUGUACACUGAAAACUGGUACAUUUUAUUAUGUGAAAACUAUGCCUUGACUAAGAUGAUUUUUUAAAAGCCAAAAUGAACCCAGUUUUCAGUGUGAAAGCUACUAUAACCUUGCAUGCACAUAGAAUCAGCAUGGGAGGUGGGAAAUGCUAGAUCUUAGCAUCUAUCCAGUCACAUUUUGUGGUAUCUUUUCCUUAUGAAGAAAUUUAAAAGCUCAAAGUUAUUGUGCUGGCUAAUUUUGUGCCAGCUUGACACAAGCUAGAGUCCUUUGAGUAGAACAAAACUCAAUAAUGAAAAUGUCCCCAACAGGCCAACAGGUUGAUCCACAGAAAAGACUGAAGAAUUUUUCUUGAUUAGUAGUUGAUUUGGGAAGGUACAGCUCGAUAUAGGCAUUGCCAAUCUUUGUUAUUUGGUUUUUGUCCCAAGUUGCAUGAGGAAACAAACUGAACAAGCCAGGAAGAGCAAAUCAGUAAGCAUCACUCCUCCAUGGCUUCAGCUCCAGUCCUACCUCCAACUUCCUGUCUUUAGUUCCUGCUCUGGUUUGUCUCACUGGUGGUAUAUGACCUGAGACUUGUAAGCUGGAAUGCAUCCUUUGCUCCUUGAGUUGUUUGUGGUCAUGGUGUUUCAGCAUAACAAUAGGAAUCCUAACUAUGGCCCUUAGAUUUCUCAGACUCCUCCCCAGCUAAUGUUCUGAUUGUGAGUCAGAUACUGACUGGGAAGGCAGAAGAGAGACCAGGGCCUACUGGGAUGCUUGCCACUGCUGACAGCAAGCUUCAACCAUUCCGUUUGGAGCACAUGUUCUCUGCUUUAGGUGAGCCACCAGAGGCAUACUGCGAUUCUCAAGCCAGGAAGUUAGAGAAUACAGAGUAAUGUCGGCGAACCUGAACUGAUGAGCAGCAGACAUUCCUGAGAUGACACCAGUUCCUGGCACACACAUGGCAGCCUUUGCUUUCAAGCUAAUGUUCCCACACAGCCAAUAAGGACCUGCCUGACAGCAAUCCCUGGACACCCUGGAAAGAAAAUGGGCCACAGCUCCUCGACUGCACUGGAUCCAACUUGCUCCAUUUCAACUGACUGACUUCAAUCAAGUUGAGGAUUUCAAGUGAGAUCUUCAAUCAAGUGAAUCCCAUCUAACAUGGACUGGAUACUAACAUUUUCUUUCUACAGGACCCCACAUGACUAUCAUCGUCCCAUUUCAGCAGGAAGUAACUUGGAGAAUGCUACGCCCCCUUUCCCCAUUGUUGUCACUUAGGAUAGUGUAUAUACCUUGUUAGGAAUAGCUUCCUAUUGUUUAUGGUUCGGUUUGGAAGGAGGUGUUCAGGCUUGGACACCUCUUUCAGAUGACUUUAGGGUUUAGUUAAAAUAGAUAGUUAGGAGGUGACAUAAGCAGAUUGUUGUAUCUUCUUAUAUUUUACCUUUAUACUGUUAAGUUUUAAUCCUCUUUUAGACUAAAAGGGGAAUUGUAGGGGAAGCUGUAGCCACGCCUUCUUAGGGGCUGGCUACAGGAGUACCUGAGCAGGCUUGUGAGGGCGUGGUCAGAGUGAGUAGGGGGACUGCGUUUCGUUUUCGGUUUCUCUUUGCUUCUUGCUGUACAGACUACCACCGGCUGGCUGGUUCGCUCUGUAAGUAAGGCUUUUCCCUAUUAAAUACCCUUAUAUUUCUACCUGACUCCGUAUUGGUAAUUUCCCACUAUAGGGGGUCUUCUUUACCUCCUCUUAAUUAUGGUCCAAAAUUAUUAGUGCAAAGUCCCAGAAAUAAGUUGUGAAAAUGUCUUACUUUUUGCAUAGCUCUAGUUAGCAUGAUGACUUCUUAUGCCAUCCUACUUCAUUUGGGCAAGGAUAAUCCCUUGUCUAGCACAUCAACACUGUGCAUACCACACACUUAUUAUAAACUACAGCUAUUUCUUCUGUCAGCUCACCAUCAUACACAUUGCUCAUGCUGAAGGAACCCUCUUUUUUUAUUUAAUAGUGGGCUCAAAGUGCAAGUAUAAUGAUGCUGACACUAUGGCUGCUGCAAAGAGAUGCCAGAAUGUACAUCCUUUAAAUGAAAGGUGAAAGUUCUUAAUAAGAGAAUUCUUUUUUAUUUAAAUUCUUUAAUUACUACUCAUAUUUACAUAUCCAUCCUCCCCAUUCCCUCACCCACCCAUCCUCCCAUGUACCCCAGCAACAGCCCCCAACCCAUCACCAAACUCCUCCCCAGGAAUAGUGAGGCCCUCUACCAGGGACCUUCAAAGUCUGUCAUAUCAUUUGGGGGAGGGCCUAGGCCCUCCUUGCUGUAUCUAGGCUGCAAUAGUAUCCCUCCACAGGGAAUGGGCUUCCAAAGUCCAUUUGUGCUCUAGGAAUAAAGACUGGCUCCACUGUUAGAGGCCCCAUAGACUGUCUUGGCCUCCUAGCUGGCACCCACAUUCAGAGGGCUUGGUUCGAUCCAAUGCUGUUUCCACAGUUUUAUGACUAGGGUCUCCAUUCUCUCACUAGGUCAGGUCAACUGUUUCUGUGGGUUUCUGCAGCAUUGUCUUGGCUUCUUUGUUCAUCCUUCCUCCCUCUCCAUAAUUGGAUUCCAGGGGUAUGGUUCAGUGCUUAGCUGUGGGUGCCUGUUUCUGCUUUGAACAGCUACUGGAUGAAGGCUCUAGGAAUGGUAACCAAGGUAGACACCAAUCUCAUUAAAGGGGAAGGGCAUCAAUGGCAUUUUCUCCACCACUGCUUGGAUUUUUAGUUGGGGUCAUCCCUGUGGAUCCCACAUUUCCCCUGUGCCAGACCUCUCUCCACUGAGGUUUCUAAGGUACUGUAAGAUUGUGGAACAGAGACCAACUUUUAAUAGCAUAUUAUUAUAAUUAUUCUAUUUUUAUUAGCUAUUAUUAAUCUUUUACAAUGCCUACUUUAUAAAGUAAAAUUUACCAUAGCUAUUUAUGUGGGGAAGAAACAUAUUAUAUAGAGGGCUUGGUACUGUGUGCCGCUCCUGUUAAGCACUGAAGGUUUAGAAACCUAUUCCCUGUGGAUAAGGGGAGACAACUAUACGGACAAAGCCAGGGAGACUGGAGAAUUGUAAGAGCAGUACUCAUACUGUACAUUAAUGUCUAACUUAUGCAUUCUGACAUAGUUACUACUUGCUCAUGCUGAUACCAGGCACUUAGGUCUGAAAGCCCACUACCUUAACAUUUUGUAUCUCAAAAGAAAACAGAAAAUAAAACUUU
ensembl:lncRNA